GGAGGCGUGGCUGAGUGGCUGAAAGCAGCACACUGCUAAUGUGCUAUACCCGAAAGGGUAUCGAAGGUUCGAAUCCUUCCGCCUCCG
rnacentral:tRNA from 1 species